AGAGAGAAAUACUAAAGAGAUAUAAUGUCGGUAAAAAAAUCCUUUUGUUUUGUAGACGCGCAAACGAUACACGAGAAAUGAGCUUAUGACAACGACGACGACGACAACGGUGAUGGUGACUGUGCGAGAUGUAAAGAACGGCUCGACCGGCUUUUUUGUGUGGCACAAUGGCUUUCGUAUGCAUGUAAAUACCGAGUAAAAUGUUUUCAUCGCGUCUUUAACGAAUAAUGCUC